AUGACCCGGCGAGCAUCGUCCGCGCCUCCGCCGUUUGCACCACCCUGUUCGAUUUCAUCUCCGACCCCGCCUUCCUUCGCGACUACCGCGCCUUCCACGGGACUCCCCCGAUAUUGGGCUACCUCCACAACAAAAUCUCAGGAGAGCCACGAUGUCGCCCAAUUCGUCCCCACCGGAGCCUUCUGCCCGCUCGUCUGCGAGCGCCGCGACUGGGACGCCGUCGACUCCCGCCAUGGCCGCGUCCUCUUCUACACGCCCGAGGGGGAGGAUACUGACUUCGUCGUUUGGGACCCCAUCACCGACAAGCAGCGGUUGAUUUCCACCGGAUCCGAGCUAGUGGAGAUUCUUUGUGCUGGACCAGAGGUAACCUGGAUGGCCGCGGUGCUAUGCGCCAAGGACGGCUGCGACCACCUGGGCUGCCAUGACGGUCCCUUCCUCGUGGCCUUCGUCGGCUCCAACAUGGUAGAGAAGACCAUGUUUGCCUCCGUUUACUCAUCGGAGACUACUGAGUGGAGCGAGAUGGUCUCGGUUGAGAAUCCGAAUGCCGUCGUGACGUAUCCAUAUCCGUUUGGCAGCGUCAUCCAUCCCUACGCCAUUGAAGAGAAUGGGCCCACCGCGGUUGUGGGAAAAAAGUUUACUUCGCCGUCAAGUGGGGCUACUGGAGCAUGA
rnacentral:rRNA from 1 species